rnacentral:tRNA from 1 species
GCCACUUUAGCUCAGUUGGUAGAGCGGCUCAUUCGUAAUGAGUAGGUCAUCGGUUCAAUUCCGGUAAGUGGCU